rnacentral:rRNA from 1 species
UACGUAGGUGGCAAGCGUUGUCCGGAUUUACUGGGCGUAAAGGGCGCGUAGGCGGGUCGGUAAGUCAGGGGUGAAAUCCCACGGCCCAACCGUGGAAGUGCCUCUGAUACUGCCGGCCUCGAGGGGGAUAGGGGCGUGCGGAACUCAGGGUGGAGCGGUGAAAUGCGUAGAUAUCAUGAGGAACACCGGUGGCGAAAGCGGCGCGCUGGAUCCCUUCUGACGCUGAGGCGCGAAGGCCAGGGGAGCAAACGGG